rnacentral:lncRNA from 1 species
UGCGAUUUGGCCGUGGUUGAAAUUCAAAUCAUGUGCUUCCUCACCAGAGAGUUGGGUGCAUAAAGACAUCUGGUGCCGCCAAAAUAUGAAGGCGCAGGUGAAGAUGAUGGAUGAUGGCGUCCUGCGCUUCUGGUGAAGCAUGAUGUACACUAGGAAGAUACAUAGGGCAUGCCCUUUGCCAACCUUGGAUGGAAGCUUAGUGGAGUAGUUUCUUACAUAGUUCCUCUUGCUUUCAUCUCUUCUGUACUUUUCUUUUUCUGUCCCAGUUUCCUUUUGCGUUUAAUAUAUAUGGGUAUGUUUAUUCCUCAGUGGCCAGUAGGUUAAGGUGGAGAGCUGCAGUUUUUGUGCAGGCCCUCUGUAAGUUCAAUGUUGGGUCGCAGAUGAAUAAAGCUAUUCUGUUUAAUUUUCCUCUUUUCUUUGAGGUGUAAUUUUCCUUUCUUGUGGUACUUAUUGAUGGCGCAGUUCUGAACAAGAUACAUCUAUAUGUGCAUCAUUGCAUGUACUAAUAAGCAAUACAAAUGAAGUCCUACAGGGCAACUUUCUGUGUGUGUCCUAUGGAAUGGUUAAUUCCAAAGUAGCAAAAUAGUC